UACGUAGGGUGCAAGCGUUAAUCGGAAUUACUGGGCGUAAAGCGUGCGCAGGCGGUUAUGUAAGACAAGUGUGAAAGCCCCGGGCUCAAUCUGGGAAUUGCAUUUGAGACUGUGUAGCUAGGGUGCGGAAGAGGGAAGCGGAAUUUCCGGUGUAGCGGUGAAAUGCGUAGAUAUCGGAAGGAACACCAGUGGCGAAAGCGGCUUCCUGGUCCAGCACCGACGUUCAGGCACGAAAGCGUGGGGAGCAAACAGG
rnacentral:rRNA from 1 species